CCUACGGGUGGCAGCAGUGGGGAAUAUUGCACAAUGGGGGAAACCCUGAUGCAGCGACGCCGCGUGCGCGAUGAAGUAUUUCGGUAUGUAAAGCUCUAUCAGCAGGGAAGAAAAUGACGGUACCUGAGUCAGAAGCUCCGGCUAACUACGUGCCAGCAGCCGCGGUAAUACGUAUGGAGCAAGCGUUAUCCGGAUUUACUGGGCGUAAAGGGAGCGUAGGCGGGCUUGCAAGUCUGAUGUGAAAUACCGUGGCUCAACCCUGGAGCUGCAUUGGAAACUGGCAGGCUGGAGUGCCGGAGAGGCAGGCGGAAUUCCUGGUGUAGCGGUGAAAUGCGUAGAGAUUAAGAGGAACAC
rnacentral:rRNA from 1 species